rnacentral:rRNA from 1 species
AUACGGAGGAUCCGAGCGUUAUCCGGAUUUAUUGGGUUUAAAGGGUGCGUAGGCGGCCUUUUAAGUCAGCGGUGAAAGUCUGUGGCUCAACCAUAGAAUUGCCGUUGAAACUGGGGGGCUUGAGUAUGUUUGAGGCAGGCGGAAUGCGUGGUGUGGCGGUGAAAAGCUUAGAUAUCAAGCAGAACCCCGAUUGCGAAGGCAGCCUGCCAAGCCAUGACUGACGCUGAUGCACGAAAGCGUGGGGAUCAAACAGGAUUAGAUACCCUGGUAGUCCACGCAGUAAACGAUGAUCACUAGCUGUUUGCGAUACACUGUAAGCGGCACAGCGAAAGUGUUAAGUGAUCCACCUGGGGAGUACGCCGGCAACGGUGAAACUCAAAUGAAUUGGCGGGG